rnacentral:rRNA from 1 species
CGUGAGUGAAGAAGGCUCUCGGGUCGUAAAGCUCUGUCAGAUAGGAAAAAAGUUCAUUAGUUAAUAGCUUGUGAAUCUGAUGGUACUAUCAGAGGAAGCACCGGCUAACUCCGUGCCAGCAGCCGCGGUAAUACGGAGGGUGCAAGCGUUGUUCGGAAUUACUGGGCGUAAAGAGCGUGUAGGCGGUAUGAUAAGUCAGAUGUGAAAGCCCUGGGCUUAACCUAGGAAGUGCAUUUGAUACUGUCAUUCUUGAGUAUGGGAGAGGAGAGUGGAAUUCCCAGUGUAGAGGUGAAAUUCGUAGAUAUUGGGAGGAACAUCCGUGGCGAAGGCGACUCUCUGGACCAAUACUGACGCUGAGACGCGAAAGCGUGGGUAGCAAACAGGAUUAGAUACCCUGGUAGUCCACGCCGUAAACGAUGAGAACUAGGUGUAGCGGGUAUUGACCCCUGCUGUGCCGAAG